UGUCAGGGGAUGGGAAUCGAACCCACGACCUUCCGCUUACCGGGCAGAUGCCAUGACUACUAGGCUACCCUGGAC
rnacentral:tRNA from 1 species